UUUGCAGUACAAAGACGUCGUUUUGUAUUUUUUGAUGACGUUGUAUAUUUUAACAAUGACGGUGAUUUAGCGUCGUGGUUUAUGAGGGAAAAGAUGACGGUAGAUUCCACGACCAUUGAAAAACCGAAUACACGACGGUGAUUUACCGUCGUCUUUUUGCUUUUUUGUAGUAGUGUGACACAAGCACAUGAUGAAACAAAGAAUGGGUUCAAGCCUACCAACAAGCAACUCUCACCAC
rnacentral:lncRNA from 1 species